rnacentral:rRNA from 1 species
GACGUAGGGCGCAAGCGUUGUCCGGAUUUAUUGGGCGUAAAGAGCUCGUAGGCGGUUUGUCGCGUCUGCCGUGAAAGUCCGGGGCUCAACCCCGGAUCUGCGGUGGGUACGGGCAGACUAGAGUGAUGUAGGGGAGACUGGAAUUCCUGGUGUAGCGGUGAAAUGCGCAGAUAUCAGGAGGAACACCGAUGGCGAAGGCAGGUCUCUGGGCAUUAACUGACGCUGAGGAGCGAAAGCAUGGGGAGCGAACAGG